rnacentral:misc_RNA from 1 species
GAUGAAGAACGUAGAGAAAUGCGAUAAGUAAUGUGAAUUGCAGAAUUCAGUGAAUCAUCGAAUCUUUGAACGCACCUUGCGCCCUUUGGACAUUCCGAAGGGCAUGCCUGUUUGAGUAUCAUGAACACCUCAACUCUCACGGCUUGUCCGUGAUGAGCUUGGACUUUGGGGGUCUUGCCGGCCUGUGGUCGGCUCCUCUCAAAUGGAUCAGCUUGCCAGUGUUUGGUGGCAUCACAGGUGUGAUAACUAUCUGCGCUUGUGGUUUUCCAUCAGAUAACCUUCAGUGAUAUGGAGGUUCGCUGGAGCUCACAAAUGUCUCUCCUUAGUGAGGACAGCUCUUUGAACGUUUGAUCUCAAAUCAGGUAGGACUACCCGCUGAACUUAAGCAUAUCAAUAAGCGGAGGA